ensembl:snRNA U7 U7 small nuclear RNA
AAGUGUUAUAACUCUUUUAGAAUUUGCCUGGCAGGUUUUCCCGUCUUUACCGGAAAGCUGCA